CAGCAGCCGCGGUAACACCGAGGGUGCGAGCGUUAAUCGGAUUUACUGGGCGUAAAGCGUGCGUAGGCGGCUUCUUAAGUCGGAUGUGAAAUCCCUGAGCUUAACUUAGGAAUUGCAUUCGAUACUGGGAAGCUAGAGUAUGGGAGAGUAUGGUAGAAUUCCAGGUGUAGCGGUGAAAUGCGUAGAGAUCUGGAGGAAUACCGAUGGCGAAGGCAGCCAUCUGGCCUAAUACUGACGCUGAGGUACGAAAGCAUGGGGAGCAAACAGGAUUAGAUACCCCUGUAGUCCCUGUCUCUUAUAC
rnacentral:rRNA from 1 species